AUGAGGGGCAAUACAGCGAUCGAUGCAACAUUGGGGGAGAGGAAAAUUUGGGACAUCAUCUGGAAGGCCAAUGUUCCUCAGAAGAUCCAUAUUUUUGCGUGGUGGGUUGCUACCAAUAGUUUGGCUGUCCAAGUAAACAGAGUGGCGCACUACCAAGCGAUUCUCAGUACAUACUCGAUAUGUGGAGUGGACGACGAGAAUACGUUUCAUGCGCUUGUUACGUGCCCCAAGGCUCGUGCGUUGCGUAUGGCCAUGAGAGGUAUUUGGGAGUUACCGAUGGAGGAUGCAUUUAGGUAUACUGGGUUGGAAUGGUUUCUUGUUCUUGUAAGUCAAGUGGGAUAG
rnacentral:rRNA from 1 species